UGGGGAAUUUUGGACAAUGGGCGAAAGCCUGAUCCAGCAAUGCCGCGUGUGUGAAGAAGGCCUUCGGGUUGUAAAGCACUUUUGUCCGGAAAGAAAUCCUUGGCUCUAAUACAGUCGGGGGAUGACGGUACCGGAAGAAUAAGCACCGGCUAACUACGUGCCAGCAGCCGCGGUAAUACGUAGGGUGCAAGCGUUAAUCGGAUUACUGGGCGUAAAGCGUGCGCAGGCGGUUUGCUAAGACCGAUGUGAAAUCCCCGGGCUCAACCUGGGAACUGCAUUGGUGACUGGCAGGCUAGAGUAUGGCAGAGGGGGGUAGAAUUCCACGUGUAGCAGUGNAAUGCGUAGAGAUGUGGAGGAAUACCGAUGGCGAAGGCAGCCCCCUGGGCCAAUACUGACGCUCAUGCACGAAAAGCGUGGGGAGCAAAACAGGAUUAGAUACCCUGGUAGUCCACGCCCUAAACGAUGUCAACUAGUUGUUGGGGAUUCAUUUCCUUAGUAACGUAGCUAACGCGUGAAGUUGACCGCCUGGGGAGUACGGUCGCAAGAUUAAAACUCAAAUGAAUUGACGGGGUCAUAGCU
rnacentral:rRNA from 1 species